rnacentral:rRNA from 1 species
AGCAGUAGCCGCGGGAAUACGUAGGUGGCAAGCGUUGUCCGGAAUUAUUGGGCGUAAAGGGCUCGCAGGCGGUUUCUUAAGUCUGAUGUGAAAGCCCCCGGCUCAACCGGGGAGGGUCAUUGGAAACUGGGAAACUUGAGUGCAGAAGAGGAGAGUGGAAUUCCACGUGUAGCGGUGAAAUGCGUAGAGAUAUGGAGGAACACCAGUGGCGAAGGCGACUCUCUGGUCUGUAACUGACGCUGAGGAGCGAAAGCGUGGGGAGCGAACAGGAUUAGAUACCCGUGUAGUCCCUGUCUCUUAUAC